UUGAAAUAAACCUGAUGGGUUGCUGCUGGUUCUCUAGGGAGCAUGUGCACACCUUGUCAUCUUUAUAUCUCCACCUGUGCACUUUUUGUAGACCUUUCAGGUCUAUGUUGCUUCAUUUACCCCAAUGUAUGUUAAUAGGAUGUUGUGCCUAUAUAAUAUAUA
rnacentral:misc_RNA from 1 species